ACAGCUCUUGMAGAUGUAUAGCAAUAGCUAUUUGCACUAAAAAUGUUUAGUGUGAAAUCGACUAUGUCGAAUAAAAUUCUGGGUAGGAUUAUGAUAAUGACAUUAGCUAUUCAUAAGUCUUGACCAAAUUACGUGCCAGCAGUCGCGGCAAUACGUAGAAGACAAGUGUUAUUCAUCUUUAAUAGGUUUAAAGGGUACUUAGACGGUAAAUAAAGCCUUUAAAGGGGACUAGUUUGCUAGAGUUUUAUAUGAAGGGGUUUUAAAGUACUGCUGGUGUAGAGAUGAAAUUCAGUUAUACCUUACAUGGCACAGGUUAAGGCGAAGGCAUCUUCUUAUGUAAAAACUGACGUUGAAGGACGAAGGCUUUGUGUCUCGAACAGGAUUAGAUACCCUAGUAGUCUAAGCAGAAAAUGAUGAAUGUCAUAGAUUAGAUGUAAUUUGAUCUAUAAAUGAAAGUGUAAGCAUUCCACCUCAAGAGUAAUUUGGCAACAUUGGAACUGAAAUCAUUAGACCGUUUCUGAAACCAGUAGUGAUGUAUGUUGUUUAAUUUGAUAACCCGCAAAAAACCUUACCACAACUUGAAUAGAUAUAUUUUAUCAUACAAGCGCUGCACGGCUGUCUUUAGUUAAUGUCGUGAGACUUUGGUUAGUUCCAUUAAAUUAACGUAAACCCUUAUUUUAUUUUUAUAUAAAGUAGUUCACCGCUAUAUUGGAUGUGAUAACAGGGAUCAAGACAAGUCAUCAUGGCCUAAAUAUUGUGGCUAUA
rnacentral:rRNA from 1 species